rnacentral:sRNA from 1 species
AAUUCUUUUAAUUAUUUUCAGAACUUUGAUCCGCAUUCGUUUAUCAAAGAUCCUUUACUGUUUGGUAAUUUCAUGAAGAUGGGAUGCCCACCAGAAGAGAAAUUUUAUGAGGAGAUAUCUGACAUGAACAAACUUCAACAUGUUUUAGGGGAGUAUCUAGAUGACCGUAACCUUACAUCACCUAAAGAAAUGCGUCUUGUGUUCUUUAUGGAUGCAAUGGAACAUAUUACUCGACUAGUCAGGAUGAUUCAACAAGAAAAGGCAAUGCCUUAUUGGUUGGAGUGGGAGGAACAGGAAAACAGUCAUUAACAAGAUUGUCUGCCCACAUGUGUAACUAUCGCUGCUUCCAGAUUGAGCUCUUUCGAGGCUAUGACUAUUCUUCAUUCCACGAUGACCUGAAAAAAUUGUAUGAUACAGCAGGCAUUCAAA